GGCAAAGACGGGUAGCUAGUCUGAGAGGAUGUUUAGCCACACUGGGACUGAGACACUGCCCAGACUCCUACGGGAGGCUGCAGUCGAGAAUCUUUAGCAAUGGGGGAAACCCUGACUAUGCGACGCCGCGUGAGGGAUGAAGGUCUUAGGAUUGUAAACCUCUUUCGACCGGAAAGAACACCCCUGGUGUGAAUAGCGCCAGGGGCUGACGGUACCGGGAGAAGAAGCCACGGCCAACUCCGUGCCAGCAGCCGCGGUAAUACGGAGGUGGCGAGCGUUACUCGGAUUCAUUGGGUGUAAAGGGCAGGUAGGCGGCCUGAAAAGUGGGGAGUGAAAUCCACCGGCUCAAUCGGUGAACUGCUUUCCAAACUUUCGGGCUUGAGUGUGGGAGAGGAGAAUGGAACUCCUGGUGUAGAGGUGAAAUUCGUAGAUAUCAGGAGGAACACCAUUGGCGAAGGCGAUUCUCUGGACCACAACUGACGCUGAGCUGCGAAAGCUAGGGGAGAGAACAGGAUUAGAUACCCUGGUAUUCCUAGCCGUAAACGAUGAGUACUUGGUGUUUCGGGUAAAACCGAAGCGCCGAAGCUAACGCAUUAAGUACUCCACCUGGGGACUACGGCCGCAAGGCUGAAACUCAAAGGAAUUGACGGGGGCCCGCACAAGCGGUGGAACAUGUGGUUCAAUUCGACGCUACGCGAAGAACCUCACCAGGGCUUGACAUAUAGGUAGUAGGAACCUGAAAGGGGGACGACUCGUCAAGCCGAGUGCCUAUACAGGUGUUGCAUGGCUGUCGUCAGCUCGUGCCGUGAGGUGUUGGGUUAAGUCCCGCAACGAGCGCAACCAUUAUCUUUAGUUGCACACGAAGCAUCCGAAAGGGUGCUGGCGAGCACUCUAAAGAGACUGCCCGUGAUAAACGGGAGGAAGGUGGUGAUGACGUCAAGUCCGUAUGGCCCUUAUGCCCUGGGCUACACACGUGUUACAAUGGGAUGUACAGAGCGUUGCCAAAGCGCGAGCUGGAGCUAACCGCAAAAAGCAUCCCUCAGUUCGGAUUGGAGUCUGCAACUCAACUCCAUGAAGUUGGAAUCGCUAGUAACGGCGGAUCAGCUACGCCGCCGUGAAUACGUUCCCGGGCCUUGUACACACCGCCCGUCAAGCGAUGGGAGCCGGUGGUACCCGAAGUGGCGACAACGCCCCGAAGGUAAAACUGGUGACUGGCGCUAAGUCGUAACAAGGUA
rnacentral:rRNA from 1 species